UGGGGAAUUUUGGACAAUGGGCGAAAGCCUGAUCCAGCAAUGCCGCGUGUGUGAAGAAGGCCUUCGGGUUGUAAAGCACUUUUGUCCGGAAAGAAAUCCUUGGCUCUAAUACAGUCGGGGGAUGACGGUACCGGAAGAAUAAGCACCGGCUAACUACGUGCCAGCAGCCGCGGUAAUACGUAGGGUGCAAGCGUUAAUCGGAAUUACUGGGCGUAAAGCGUGCGCAGGCGGUUUGCUAAGACCGAUGUGAAAUCCCCGGGCUCAACCUGGGAACUGCAUUGGUGACUGGCAGGCUAGAGUAUGGCAGAGGGGGGUAGAAUUCCACGUGUAGCAGUGAAAUGCGUAGAGAUGUGGAGGAAUACCGAUGGCGAAGGCAGCCCCCCUGGGCCAAUACUGACGCUCAUGCACGAAAGCGUGGGGAGCAAAACAGGAUUAGAUACCCCUGGUAGUCCACGCCCUAAACGAUGUCAACUAGUUGUUGGGGAUUCAUUUCCUUAGUAACGUAGCUAACGCGUGAAGUUGACCGCCUGGGGAGUACGGUCGCAA
rnacentral:rRNA from 1 species